rnacentral:ncRNA from 1 species
UAAAAAUUUAUGAUUUAAAAAAUUUAUUUUGAAUUUAAUUUACAUGUAAAUUUUUGUAUGAAUUUUAUUGUAUUUUAAAAAUAUAAUGAAUAAAUUAACAGUAAUUAAAAUUAAAAAUUUAAGAAAUUAAGAUUUAGGAAUAUAAAAUUAUAAAUAACAAAUUUUGUGCCAGCAGUUGCGGUUAUACAAAAAUUUAAAUAAAUUUUAAUAAUAAAAAUAAAUAAUUAAAUUUAAAUUAAAUUUAAAAUUAUUAAGUGAAAUUUUAAUUUUAUAAAAAUUUAUAUAUUAAUUAUGAAUUUAAAAAUUUUGUUAAUAAACUAGGAUUAGAUACCCUAUUAUAAAAAAUUAAUUAUAAAUAUUAAAAUAGUAAAUAAUUAUUUAUUGAAACUUAAGUAAUUUGGCGGUAUUUUAGUUCAUUUAGAGGAAUCUGUCUAAUAAUUGAUAAUCCACGAAUAAUCAUAUUUAAUUUAAAAUUUUAUAUAUCGUUGUAAAAAAAAUAUUUUUAAAAAAAAAUAAUAUUUUAAAAUUUCAAAUUAAAAUUAAUUCAGAUCAAGAUGUAGAUAAUAAUUAAAUUUAAGAUGGAUUACAAUAUAAUUAUAUAUGUGGAAAAUGAUUUAAAAUAAUUGUUUGAAAUUGGAUUUAAAUGUAAUUUUAAAUAGUUUUUUAAAAUGAUUAAAAAUUGAAAUAUGUACAUAUUGCCCGUCACUUUCAUUUUAAAGUUGAAAUAAGUCGUAACAAAGUAGGAGUACUGGAAAGUGUUUCUAGAAAGAA